AUAAGGGCCCCCUUAUUUUAGCUACUUUAUUUUUGGUAAAUCUUAGAAAAGUACUUAAUAGUCUUAUUUUUUGCAAAGCGACCAUUUUCAACAUUUUGUGUGUUGAAUUUCAGC